UUUUUUUUUUUUUUUUCUCUCACUCUUUUAUUUCCUAUAUUGAUGAACGAAGGCGGUUGUCAGAGAGAGAGAAAGAAAAAAGAUACCUUCAAGAGUUAGCUUUCUAACCGAAGCAAGCUUGUUUGGUAAUGAUGAAAUUUUAUGAAAAAGAAUAUAAAACGUGAUGCUCAAUUUUUUUUUAUCAAUUAU
rnacentral:ribozyme from 13 species